AUAAAGGUAAACUAAUAAAGUUGUUUGGUUCAUACCCGA
rnacentral:tRNA from 1 species